rnacentral:rRNA from 1 species
ACUCAAAUGAAUAGACGGGGGCCCGCACAAGCAGCGGAGCGUGUGGUUUAAUUCGACGCAACACGCAGAACCUUACCUAGGCUUGACAUGCACCUGCAGGUCGGGGAAACCCGGCCGCCUUCGAGGGUGGUGCACCGGUGCUGCAUGGCUGUCGUCAGCUCGUGUCGUGAGAUGUUGGGUUAAGUCCCGCAACGAGCGCAACCCUUGCCCCAUGUUACUUGUGUCAUGGGGGACUGCCGGUGGGUUCCACCGGAGGAAGGCGGGGAUGACGUCAAGUCCGCAUGGCCCCGACGCCUAGGGCGACACACACGCUACAAUGGCCGGCGCAGUGCGCAGCAACCUGGCAACAGGGAGCUAAUCGCGAAGGUCGGUCUCAGUGCAGAUUGGGGGCUGCAACUUGCCCCCAUGAAGGCGGAGUUGCUAGUAACCGCGUGUCAGCAGAGCGCGGUGAAUACGUACCCGGGCCUUGUACACACCGCCCGU